CAAUACACGGUUCGAGCUUGUACGGUACGGACGAUCGCAACGCGUUUAUUAUAAUAAUUCAGUAUUCUCAACGUCAAUAAAAUGUCUUUCAACAUUGAUGACCCUCAAUACCACAUGGGACAUCUAUUCAUGGACUGCAUGAGAAGACGACCUGAUUCAGUGUGCCAGGUAGACGCAGCAACAGGGGAGACAGAGACCAACGCGUCAGUACUACAGCGGUCUGUGCGGUUAGCCAAGUACAUGCGGACGCUCGGUCUUAAGCCGGGGGAUAUACUGGCACUGGGGGGAAGAAACCACUUGGAUCUUUAUAUACCAUAUUAUGCUGCCUUAAUGAAUGGAUAUCCUAUAACCGGCGUCGAUCCACUAUUCAAAUUACAUGAAAUCAAAAGCUUUUUCAAAUUGACGCAACCAAAAAUAGCGUUUUGUCAACAAAAUCAACGGGAGAACUACUUGGAGGCUGCCCGCGAAUUGGGCCUUGACACGAGAGUCAUCACAUUUGACGGAGACGAGCCGAUGUCCGAGUUACUAGCUGACUUCGCUGAUGACGAUAUUGCUGAUUUUCAGCCGGCCACUUUCGAUUUAGACAAGGUUUACGUCUGGCUGAUUAGCACUGGUGGUACAUCGGGAGCUCUGAAAGUAGCUGCCAUCAAACACAAAGCUUGGAUUAGAAAAGCGAUUUCAUUCACUUUGUGUCUGCUUGAAUUAAACGAUAAAGAUGAUACCAGUCCAGUAAUUGCGCUGAAUCUGUCUCCCGUGCAAUGGGUGUCGGGACUUUUUAACGCAAUGAGCGCACCGCUUCUCAACCAAACAAAGGUACAGACGUCAGCGCUACUUACAAUGGAACAUGUCGUUGAGAUCAUAAACAAGUACAAGCCAAAAACCACAAUGAUGAAUCCGUCGCUAGCUUCUAAUUUGUUGGCCUAUGAAAACUGUGACUUCAAAUGUUUCAAAAGCUUCGUUUUAGGAGGCGGGAAAUUACAUACGGACGUUAUUUUGGCACUAAAGAGUAGAUUACGGCACGACGCGUUAUUGAUCGAAGGGUACGGGCAGACAGAGAACAUAGGACCGGUAUUCGCAACGAACCAUAAAACGCCAAUCGGUAGUUGCGGCAAAAGAUCGAACUCCGUUGAAGUUAAGUUGGUAGAUCUUGAGACUGGUCUAGAAAUAACUGAACCACAUGUCCUGGGAGAACUGUGGACUAAAGGAGAUUGUUUUACAGAGUACUACAUGAAUCCAGAAGAAACUGCUAAGGCCUUCACAGCGGAUGGCUGGUUUAAAACCGGGGAUAUUUUGUACAGAGACGAAGAGGACUUUUUCUAUUUCGUCGAAAGAAUGAGCAUGAUCAUCCAAUACAGGAGCUUCCGUGUUAUACCUCUUGAAAUCGAAGGGGUGAUCAGAACUCACGAAGGAGUAUUGGAUGUUAGUGUUACCAGUAUACCUAGUGAAGAAGACGGCGAACAUCCCGUAGCGUGUGUGGUGAGACGGAAGGAUGCCACCGUCACAGCAGCGGAGAUAAAAGAAUUUGUUGCCGCUGGAAAACUACAUGGAGAAUUAUAUGCAAUACAAGAUAAUGAGCUCCAUUAAAUGAAUUCGAAUGAAACCAAACUGUUUACCAUCCAAAUUCGAUUGUCGGGCAGAUAGAAAACGAAAAUUCACUCAUAGUGAACCUCGGCCUGCAUUUGUGAAACGGCAAAGACUCACUAUUAUCAAGGAAAUUGAAGAGACGACUAAAAAUGAGAUGUGUCGUAUUAUUAUACCUUUGCCAUCUUGUAGUCAAGAUGUCCAGCCACUUGAAAAUAGGUGUAGUAAUGACAAAGCUAUCCAAGUAGCUCCAGCACAGGAACACAAAGGCAAGGCAAGUGUGUAUUGCCACAUCACCCCUUAAUAUAUCUGAAGCAAGUAUAAGUAAACAAUCAGAACCAGCAAAAAAAAAAACUGUUGUUCCUGAGGACAAAUUUGACAGUGAUGAGUCAAAUGCACCAGCAACAGAAGGAUCAACUGUUGACUAUGGGUUAUAGAAGAAGAAGAUUAAUUCAUAUUUAUUUAAAUUAAUAUUAAUGAAUAUUAAUUUAAAUUAUCGUGCAAAAUUCGUGGUCAAAACAUAUGUGUAUUUUAUAAAUAAAUAUUCAUUCUCAGUA